rnacentral:rRNA from 1 species
CCUACGGGAGGCAGCAGUGAGGAAUAUUGGUCAAUGGACGAGAGUCUGAACCAGCCAAGUAGCGUGAAGGAUGACUGCCCUAUGGGUUGUAAACUUCUUUUAUAUGGGAAUAAAAUGUUCCACGUGUGGGAUUUUGUAUGUACCAUAUGAAUAAGGAUCGGCUAACUCCGUGCCAGCAGCCGCGGUAAUACGGAGGAUCCGAGCGUUAUCCGGAUUUAGUGGGUUUAAAGGGAGCGUAGGUGGAUUGUUAAGUCAGUUGUGAAAGUUUGCGGCUCAACCGUAAAAUUGCAGUUGAUACUGGCAGUCUUGAGUACAGUAGAGGUAGGCGGAAUUCGUGGUGUAGCGGUGAAAUGCUUAGAUAUCACGAAGAACUCCAAUUGCGAAGGCAGCUCACUAGACUGCAACUGACACUGAGGCUCGAAAGUGUGGGUAUCAAACAGGAUUAGAUACCCGUGUAGUC